UGGGCUGUAGCUCAGUGGUAGAGCGCUCGCCCAGCAUGUGUGCGGCCCUGGGUUCGAUUCUCAGCACCACGU
rfam:Ictidomys tridecemlineatus contig122112, whole genome shotgun sequence.